UUUGUGAGAAAGGUGACAAUCUGUGAGCAGGUGUUCGAUUCGUCCACGUUUCCCUGCAGCUAGGCAAAAUGAGUUUUGCAUGUAAUGUUCAUUUCUUUUCAACUUCCGUGGCUACGAGCAGUGAUUUGGGCUUACCAGUUUUCCUCCCCCACCACUCUUAGGUGAACCAUUCCUUUGGGGAGAAGCGAGAUAAAAUCCCAAAUAUGUUUGACUGUCCUUUUCCAGUGCACUCGCAGGUGAGACUGUGUGUUGUUGGUGGACUCUGUGAGAGAAUUGUGUGAGCUGAAGCCACAGCAACAGAACUGGAUAUAAAAUGAAGCGUAGAGAAGAGUCGUUGAUUUUCCAGGUUAUUCGCUCAGUACUUUAUGACCCAGACUGCCUUUUGGAUCAGAAAGAUAUCAGAAGCUAUAAAACACAAAGCCAGGAUUUGUUAUCACGAGAGUGUUCAGAAGGACAGCAGCCCUGAGUAUGUGCCGUCCUGUGCUCAUCAUAUGAUCCUCUGUUCUCUUGACUCUACAACCCCUGUCCGUCUCUGGGUAGAGGACAGAGGAGGCCAGAGUCAAAGCUGGCUGCCGGCGCUAGCUGCCCAUCCACUGAGCUGAGUUACUGUGUCGCCACAGGCACACCUGUUAAGGUUGGGGGGGGGACUCUCUCCGUUUCAGCAAGUUUGUAUCAGGCCACACCUGCUGCUCUAAGCCCUGAGAAGUGUGACUCUCACAAGACUGUGAGGACAGCCCAGUUGGCCUUUGGAGCCAGGCUGCCUCAUUUCCCAUGGCUUUGAGCCCGCCUGUGGCCACAUCCCCGGCUCCAGUCUCCCUCAGCACGCCAGAUGCCAGGUGGUGUUCCCAAAGAGCUAUGGUAUCAG